rnacentral:rRNA from 1 species
CACUCCUGCGGGAGGCAGCAGUGGGGAAUUUUGGACAAUGGGCGAAAGCCUGAUCCAGCAAUGCCGCGUGAGUGAAGAAGGCCUUCGGGUUGUAAAGCUCUUUUGUCAGGGAAGAAACGGUGAAAGCUAAUAUCUUUUGCUAAUGACGGUACCUGAAGAAUAAGCACCGGCUAACUACGUGCCAGCAGCCGCGGUAAUACGUAGGGUGCAAGCGUUAAUCGGAAUUACUGGGCGUAAAGCGUGCGCAGGCGGUUUUGUAAGUCUGAUGUGAAAUCCCCGGGCUCAACCUGGGAAUUGCAUUGGAGACUGCAAGGCUAGAAUCUGGCAGAGGGGGGUAGAAUUCCACGUGUAGCAGUGAAAUGCGUAGAUAUGUGGAGGAACACCGAUGGCGAAGGCAGCCCCCUGGGUCAAGAUUGACGCUCAUGCACGAAAGCGUGGGGAGCAAACAGGAUUAGAAACCCUAGUAGUCCCA